ACGGGAGGCAGCAGUGGGGAAUAUUGCACAAUGGGCGCAAGCCUGAUGCAGCGAUGCCGCGUGAGGGAAGAAGGUUUUCGGAUUGUAAACCUCUGUCAUCAGGGACGAAAAUGACGGUACCUGAGAAGGAAGCUCCGGCUAACUACGUGCCAGCAGCCGCGGUAAUACGUAGGGAGCGAGCGUUAUCCGGAAUUACUGGGUGUAAAGGGAGCGUAGGCGGGACUGUAAGUCAGAUGUGAAAUAUGCCGGCUCAACUGGCAGACUGCAUUUGAAACUGCGGUUCUUGAGUGAAGUAGAGGUAAGCGGAAUUCCUAGUGUAGCGGUGAAAUGCGUAGAUAUUAGGAGGAACACCAGUGGCGAAGGCGAUCUACUGGACGAUAACUGACGCUGAGGCGCGAAAGCGUGGGGAGCAAACAGGAUUAGAUACCCUGGUA
rnacentral:rRNA from 1 species